rnacentral:tRNA from 1 species
GGGGAUAUGGCGGAAUUGGUAGACGCGCCGGACUUAAAAUCCGGUGAUUUUAUAAUCAUGUGGGUUCAAGUCCCACUAUCCCCA